rnacentral:rRNA from 1 species
GAAGAAACGUUUUCUGCAUCCAGGAUUAGCCUAAAUCCUUUGGGAUAAGGUAUCAUGGAGGGUGAGAAUCCCGUUCAUGGUUAAUCUUAAGGAUGCUCUACGAUACGUUCUCCAAGAGUCGAGUUGUUUGGGAUUGCAGCUCAAAAUGGGAGGUAAAUUUCUCCUAAGGCUAAAUAUUGGCGAGAGACCGAUAGCGAACAAGCACCGUGAGGGAAAGAUGA